rnacentral:rRNA from 1 species
UCGAGCGGAACGAUGGUAGCUUGCUACCAGGCGUCGAGCGGCGGACGGGUGAGUAAUGCUUAGGAAUCUGCCCAGUAGUGGGGGAUAGCCCGGGGAAACCCGGAUUAAUACCGCAUACGCCCUUUUGGGGAAAGCAGGGGAUCUUCGGACCUUGCGCUAUUGGAUGAGCCUAAGUCGGAUUAGCUAGUUGGUGGGGUAAAGGCUCACCAAGGCGACGAUCCGUAGCUGGUCUGAGAGGAUGAUCAGCCACAUCGGGACUGAGACACGGCCCGAACUCCUACGGGAGGCAGCAGUGGGGAAUAUUGGACAAUGGGGGCAACCCUGAUCCAGCCAUGCCGCGUGUGUGAAGAAGGCUUUCGGGUUGUAAAGCACUUUCAGUGAGGAGGAAGGCCUUAAGAUUAAUACUCUUAAGGAUUGACGUCACUCACAGAAGAAGCACCGGCUAACUCCGUGCCAGCAGCCGCGGUAAUACGGAGGGUGCAAGCGUUAAUCGGAAUUACUGGGCGUAAAGCGCGCGUAGGUGGUUGAGUAAGCGAGAUGUGAAAGCCCCGGGCUUAACCUGGGAACGGCAUUUCGAACUGCUCGACUAGAGUGUGGUAGAGGGUAGUGGAAUUUCCUGUGUAGCGGUGAAAUGC